CGCGGUAUUAUGACCGUGCGAAGGUAGCAUAAUCAUUAGUCUUUUAAUUGAAGGCUGGAAUGAAUGGUUGGACGAGAAAUAAGCUGUCUUUGUCUUAUAAAUUGAAUUUAACUUUUAAGUGAGAGGGCUUAAAUGUAUUAAAGGGACGAUAAGACCCUAUAAAGUUUAUACAUUCAAAUAAUUGAAAAUAAUUAAGAAAAAUUAAAGUUUAUUAUUAGGAAGAUGUUUAGUUGGGGCGACUAGGAUAUAAGUUAAUUNUAACUGUCUNNUAAAUUAAAGUCAAAGAUAUUUGAGUUUGUGAUCCUUUUUUAGGAUUCAAGAACAAGUUACUUUAGGGAUAACAGCGUAAUUUUUUUUGAGAGUUCUUAUCGACGAAAGAGUUUACGACCUCGAUGUUGAAUUAAAAGUUUCUCUGGAGUGUAGCAAUUCCAGGAGAAGGUCUGUUCGACCUUUAAAUUUUUACAUGAUUUGA
rnacentral:rRNA from 1 species